UGGGGAAUAUUGCACAAUGGGCGCAAGCCUGAUGCAGCCAUGCCGCGUGUAUGAAGAAGGCCUUCGGGUUGUAAAGUACUUUCAGUCGGGAGGAAGGUGUCAAGGUUAAUAACCUUGGCAAUUGACGUUACCGACAGAAGAAGCACCGGCUAACUCCGUGCCAGCAGCCGCGGUAAUACGGAGGGUGCAAGCGUUAAUCGGAAUUACUGGGCGUAAAGCGCACGCAGGCGGUUGAUUGAGUCAGAUGUGAAAUCCCCGGGCUUAACCCGGGAAUUGCAUCUGAUACUGGUCAGCUAGAGUCUCGUAGAGGGGGGUAGAAUUCCAGGUGUAGCGGUGAAAUGCGUAGAGAUCUGGAGGAAUACCGGUGGCGAAGGCGGCCCCCUGGACGAAGACUGACGCUCAGGUGCGAAAGCGUGGGGAGCAAACAGG
rnacentral:rRNA from 1 species